rnacentral:rRNA from 1 species
AUUGACCGCUGGCGGCAGGCCUAACACAUGCAAGUCGAGCGAGCGGCGGACGGGUGAGUACUGUCUGGGAAACUGCCUGAUCGAGGGGGAUAACUACUGGAAACGGUAGCUAAUACCGCAUACCAUCAGAUGUGCCCAGAUGGGAUUAGCUAGUAGGUGGGGUAACGGCUCACCUAGGCGACGAUCCCUAGCUGGGCUGAGAGGAUGACCAGCCACACUGGAACGGAGACACGGUCCAGACUCCGACGGGAGGCAGCAGUGGGGAAUAGUGCACAAUGGGCGAAAGCCUGAUGCAGCAAUGCCGCGUGUGUGAAGAAGGCCUUCGGGUUGUAAAGCACUUUCAGCGAGGAGGCGUUACUCGCAGAAGAAGCACCGGCUAACUCCGUGCCAGCAGCCGCGGUAAUAC